UGUGUAGGCGGAUCGUUAAGUGCCUUGUGAAAUCCCACGGCUUAACCGUGGAACGGCUGGGCAGACUGGCGAUCUUGAGCCAUCCAGGGGCGACCGGAACAAACGGUGGAGCGGUGAAAUGCGUAGAUAUCGUUUGGAACGCCAACGGUGAAAACAGGUCGCUGGGGAUGUGCUGACGCUGAGACACGAAAGCCAGGGGAGCAAACGGGAUUAGAUACCCCGGUAGUCCUGGCCCUAAACGAUGUCCACUAGAUCGCAGGCCCUUGACGGGUUUGCGGUCGAAGCAAAAGUGCUAAGUGGACCGCCUGGGAAGUACGGUCGCAAGGCUAAA
rnacentral:rRNA from 1 species